rnacentral:misc_RNA from 1 species
AACAAGGCGUACCUGCGGACCUGCGGAAGGAUCAUUACUGAGUCACGUGCUCAAACAACCCUUCUGUGGACCUGAAAUAAAACCGUUGCCUCGGCGGGCGGUCCCCCCCAAACCAACCCCACGUGGUGGGUUAGGGGAGACCAGACAGUCCGGUACGCUUAAGGCGUCCGGCGCCAGCCGCUGGCCCCAAACAAUUAAACACUAGUAAUCUUUACCUUCUGAGUUUCAAUAUUUAAAAAU